AGAUGCGCGUCAUCCCCAAAAGAGAGAGGCCAGAGAUGCCACCCGGAGCCAAGGAGGAGCGGGAGGGUCCCACGGCGCACAGGACGAGCUUGAAGGGUCUUUUGCGGAGCCACCCCCAAUCCUUCUCCCCAGAAGCCUCCUCCUCCUCUUUCUUCGGGGACUCAAGGGGAGCACCCCAGGCGGAGAGACGAUGGGCAUCAAGGAACAGGCGGUGAUAGUAUGAUAGCUGGGUCCGGAAGCGCCGAGAGGGAAGCUUGGCUAAGAGCGCAGCCUCGGAGUCUGGAUGGUGCCCACCUACCUUCACCUCCAGGAAAGGACGAGAUGGAAAGUAAUGCUGAGGCGCCUUCUAAGGUCUGCUGGAGGGGAAACAAGCCAACUUCGAAAGCAGGAUUGCUUUAGAUCCAGACGACGAAGAAGCAAAACUCGGAGGACGACCUAAGAUGGAAU